CAGAUGUAUAGGAGCAUGAGAAGUGAUGUUAGCAGACAAGAUAGAAGUUCAACCCAUCAAAGAACACAAUCUUCUGAGAAACAUGUUGGAUAUGUGGAUGCUACAAAGCGGAUUGAAGAAUCAGAUUCUCAACUGAUAUACAGUCCUUCCUUCAAAAAGUCAUCUUCCUUCAAAAAGGGCGAGAAUCGAGACGAAGAGUUCAAUCUGUGAUCAGAAUCUGAAAUGCAGAAGGAAACCGUACUUUGUUGAUGAUUAUGUGCAGCAGAGAAUGGUUGUUCAUAAAGGAAUAAAGCAUUGUAAUGGUGCUUUCGUCUGGAGCACGCUCAAGGUCAAGAAGAAUCUGAUUUCCUCAAGGUUUCCAAGGUUAAUGUAGAUGAUAACAAAUACACAGACGGCAAACAUGUCGACGAUGACCGGAAUGUUAGGAGAGAUGUGGGGAAAGACCACGGCGAAGGCGGUGGCUGUGAAUUAUCGUUCACUCUCGUUGCUCCAUCCUUUUCUCAGAGUGAGAUCAGCGGAGGCAGUGAGGCGUUAUCGUUGGUCUCCGGCUCCGGCUCAUCUUCAUGCAACCUUAGUAGUAUAAGCUUAGAUCUAUCUAUUGCUUCUUGUGGCACCUAAUAUAUAUAAUUUUUCCUUUUCUCCCCCUCAGCUUAGUAGUAUAAA